rnacentral:rRNA from 1 species
UACGUAGGGUGCAAGCGUUAAUCGGAAUUACUGGGCGUAAAGCGUGCGCAGGCGGUUAUGUAAGACAGAUGUGAAAUCCCCGGGCUCAACCUGGGAACUGCAUUUGUGACUGCAUAGCUAGAGUACGGUAGAGGGGGAUGGAAUUCCGCGUGUAGCAGUGAAAUGCGUAGAGAUGCGGAGGAACACCGAUGGCGAAGGCAGCCCCCUGGGCUGACACUGACGCUCAGGCACGAAAGCGUGGGGAGCAAACAGG